rnacentral:lncRNA from 1 species
UUCAUUCAACCAUUGCAACUUAUAAGGCCUAGGGUGUCUUAACAAUGCUAGUCCUAAUUUCUCAACUAAAGUUGUGCUAGCUACAUUCGUGCAACUCCCACCAUCAAUAAUCAUACUACAUACCUUAUCGUUGACGUAACAAGUAUGUGGAAUAUAUUUUCUCCCUGCUGCUCCGAAUCAUCCACUUUGACUUGAGUGUUAAGAGCUCUCCUUGACACCAACGAUUCCCCAACAGCAAACUCCAGUUUUUCUUCUUCUUCAACGUCCUCUAAUGCAGGCAUGUCCUCAAACUCUCCUUCACUUUCACUCACCACCUCUCCAUUAUCCAACAAAACUAUUACCCGUUUAUUUGGGCAUUGAGAAGCAAUGUGCCCUGACCCCAAGC